GUUUGAACGUUUAUAAUCUCUAAAAUAUCAUCAACACUACUAAUUGUUAUCACGUCAAUAUGAAGCUGUUCUUAAUAUUAUGGUUGGUUGCUCUAUGUGGGGCUGAUGAGGAGAGAGAAGCUAUAAAACUAGCAGCUGACAGUCCUCAGAAGCUGCAGGCGCUCUUCACACAGUUCAGACAGGAGAAUCACAGAGUCUACCAGAAUAAUGGGGAGGCUAGGAUGAGAAUGGGAAUCUUCAGGAAGUUCGUGAAGGAGGCAGCUAAAGUGAAUGAAGAUCAAGAAGAGAUCACAGUUGGAGUUACAUUCUUUGCGGACCUGACAGAGGAGGAGAAGGUUCAAUACCACGGAGCCAACAUUACAGA